rnacentral:lncRNA from 1 species
CACUACUGCUGAACUGUUCUAUUCCAUUCUGUGCAGAGCUGUAAUGGAGGAAGAAUAAAUGUGUCACCAGUUGGAUUGAAUCCGAACCUUGGAAUCAUUCGUCUUUUCCACAACGCAGAGAUCGUGAUUAGGGUGAAGCAGUGUGGCUAAGCCCGGUUACAUUGGUGCCGUGACCCGGAUUCAUCGUAGAUCAACGUCAGCUUGGUCGCCGGAACUGCAGUUUAUCAACACAAGGUUCUCUUAAAGAAGUUAGCAUUAAAGUUAUUUUACACGCUGUUGAAAGGACACCAAAAACAAGAAGGUUAUAUUUCUGUCAGUUUUAUUCAUUUAUUCGUUGUUGGGUUUUUUUUUUCCGCUUGGUGUGAAACAAGUUUUCUACAGUUACUAUUGGUUAAGAUUGUUAAUUUCUCUGUAAUACAGAGUUACGUUUGUCAAGAUGGCUUCCAAAUUUGGUGAAGAAGAUAACGGUUCUGCUAUAGGUAAUGCCCUGGGUUUAGGCAGAGGAAGGUUUUUGAGAGAGCUUUGCAAUACCCCUGUCCGAAAUUUAGGCGAUGUUGGUUCACCAGCUUUUAGCUCCACACGGAUACCUGGUCAUCCAGCACAUUCGGAAAAAGUCACUGAUCAGGUACCCGUCACUUCAGAUGUUAGUGAUCCAGCUUUAAGCCAUCUCAUCACACACAUUGCCCAGCAAGUGGGGCAAGCUAUAUCAGUUCAGUUAAAGGGAGAUAGUAAGGCAGAUGAGGUCAAAGAUUCAUAUGUUCAGAACUCAGGUUCUGAUCAGACUGCUAUGAAUUUUACACAUAAUCUGGCUGGUAUGAAGUUGGUCUUACAGGCUGAUGUGAGAGAACCCCCUAGUUUUAGAGGAGAUGCAUCAGACAGGGUGUCUGUAUAUGAGUGGGAGGAGCUUAUGGAUACAUACCUGAGAAAGAGAGGCGUACCACAGGCAGAGCAACAACAUGAAAUCGUAUCCAAGCUAAUGGGCAAAGCCAGAGACAUAGUGAAGGUUACACUACGCAGCAACCCUACAUUGAAGCCUCAGGAGAAUCCCAAAGUCAUCAUUGACAUACUGAAACAACAUUUUGGUGAAGCCACAUGUUCCAGCAUGCCUCUCGCAGACUUCUACGGCACUGUGCCUAUGCCAGGAGAGAAUCCAGUUGAAUAUUGGCUCCGCCUCAACAAGGCCAUUGAUGUAGCUGAAGAGGGCCUGCGCAGGCAAGGGCGGCAUAUUGAUGAGCCAAGCCGAGAGGUAACAAUGAUGUUUGUUAAGUAUUGUCCAGAUCCUUCUCUUGCUGCAGUAUUGCGGUUUAAAGCACCAGACAAAUGGACUGCUAUGGAGAUACAGGAACAUGUCGACCGUUAUCAGAUCGAGAUGAAAGAGCGAGUGGUCUCCAAGCCAAACCAUCCAAACUCAGCAAGACGCUUAACAUCACAUGUUCAAGCACCUGCAGCUGAGGAGCCUACUCCAUCUGGUUCUCCUGUUUCAUCCUCUGUUCAGGCUGAGAUGAGCCGAGAUUGGUUGGAUGUUUGUCACUACUGCUGAACUGUUCUAUUCCAUUCUGUGCAGAGCUGUAAUGGAGGAAGAAUAAAUGUGUCACCAGUUGGAUUGAAUCCGAACCUUGGAAUCAUUCGUCUUUUCCACAACGCAGAGAUCGUGAUUAGGGUGAAGCAGUGUGGCUAAGCCCGGUUACAUGUGGACGCGCUCGCGCUGCCCCCGCUGCAGGCUCGUCACUGGCGCAGCCGGGCAGCGCAGCGCACACUCCGCUUUUUUUGCGGUCAAUAGAUCAAUUUGAUCUGCUAGUUAAAAAGUUACUUGUGAGGUGAAAAAGAAGGAAGCAGGCAGGAGUUUUCUGGAGGACUGGGAGAUGCAGGAAGAUCAGAGACAGACGGGACAGUAAGAUAGGAAAAUAAAAACCAAGAAAACAAAACAACGUUCUUAAAAAAAUAAAAUGAAGGUAGAUUUAUCCCACUAGACGUCGGUACCUGUAUAAAGCAAUAAUUCAUCAGCAUGUAGUAUUUAUAUAGUUGAUACAAUUCAGAGAUCAUCUUCAAAACUCCGGCCCAUGCCCAGGGACGUAUCUAAGCAUUUUGGGGGCCGAGGCAAAAUAGACCCCUGCCAGGUAUUUUAAGUUGAAGUGCUAUCUGUUUUUAUAUUAGACUUUUUAUAUUUGCAAUAAAGUCCAAAAGUGAAGAAUUUGUUUUUUAUUACUUGAUUGAUCAAGCUACCUCACAGAAGUGAUCUGUUGUUAAAAAUUAAAAUAAAAAGGUAAUUAAAUAAAAAAUUAAGGAACAUUCUGGAACUGUUUCUUCCUUUUCUUUCUUAUUUUUUAAUGUAUCGAAAGUAUCGGCUCGGGACUUGGUAUCGGCAGAUUCUCAAAAUCAAAUGACUCGAACUCAGACUGGAGGGCAAAAAAACCUGAUCGGGACAUCCCUACUUCUAAACAACUUAAUCUAACAGCUGAAACGUCUCCCAACCUUCCUUGAGUAUCUACAGAAGUGAUUAAUCACUAAGAAUAGAAUAGAAUAGAAUAGAAUAGAAUAGAAUAGAAUAGACUUUUAUUGUCAUUGCACGGGGGUACAAUGAAAUUGAGGGCUGGAAAUUAAACAAAUCAGCUGUGUUCAUGAUCUAAAACAUGCAGGAAACACGCUGAAGCCAGACUGCAGCACCAGGUAUGUCACCUCAAUAUUUUUCUUCCCAAAGGACCGGAUCGGCAACUGUGAAGCAGCCAGUGGAAUAUUCUGGCCAGAAGGGGUGAUAGGGUCUGGGUGACAUUUCAUUAACCCUUUAGAUGGUUAUUUUAGCACAUACUGGCUCAAGAAAAUGGUUUAAUAAUAUGAAAACGUUUCAAAGUAUGCCUUUAAAAAAGGUCCACAUUUUCUUAUUUUGAGUAAAAAAAAAAAUCUGACAGCAGAGUACCUAAAAGUUGCUUGGCUAGAAUUCUUAAAACUAGCUAAUAAAUAUGAAAUAAGAUUAUUUUGCUAGUUUUAAGAACUGUAGCCAAGCAACUUUUGCAUUAAAAAACAUUUUAAGAAUAUUUAUUUGCAAAUUUAAAAUAUAUAUAUUUUGUUUAUAGAAUAAAAAUAAGAUAAAAUGUGUAAAACAUGUAUUUAUUUAUUUUUUACUUUCUUAUAGAUCAGGUUUUGGAGAGUACAAUAUAUGAUUAUUUGAGUCAGAGGUGAAUCUGUGUUCCUGCUUUCAUGUAUGUGAAAGUGUGCAGAGAGGCACAGCUGUUUUGAUGCCUGCUCAAAGAUUGCAUCUCAGUUUCAACAGUGUGGCACCAUUGACAUUCAGUCGAAAUGGGUUUGGGUAGCAUGCUGCUUACCCUUGAACGAGACAACAAGGACACAAUGAUCAGACAUAAUCACCAGUGUUUCCAUUAAAAGCCAGUAUCUCAUUGAGACCACGACUGUUGGUGACAAAUUGCAACCAGCACUUGUGAAGGUUUUUCUAAAAUGUCUCAAAACGUUUGUGAGAGUUCCUGCCAGGUUCGGUGUGCUGAACUGGAGUGUAGCGGAGGUAAUGUAGCGUGGCUGUGUGACCCAGAUGCGGAGAGGCUGGCGUUUGGUCCGAACAGAACACGCAGCUUGCUCUAAGGACGGCAGUACGGCGCACAUGAGAUAAUGAGGCUGUACUGCGGUUCCGUUUGGUAGGGUGCUGUCGUGGUGGAGGUUAGACAGCGUGGAAAGAUCACUUUCCUGGAUUGGUUUUGGGUUAGAUUUGGAUCGCUUCGGUUUGGCGUCUGUCAUGAUGACUGAAUGACAGCUCAGCGGUGACAGUUCGUUAUAUAGCUUCCGCGUGGUGAUGUCACCGAGAGCGUCGGUGACGGGAAUGCUGGGAAUUGGAGUGCCCCGUCAGCCCGGCCCGCAGAGGAGGUCAGGAGGAGGAAGAGUUCAUGACAGUUCCCAGUUUUUUCAUGUGAGUUGCAAGAUUUUAUAUCGAGUGAAUUAUGAACAGGAGCAAGGAAAAGGUUCUCACAGAAUAGUUUGUCUUUGGAACUUGUAUGACUUUAAAUGCAGAGAAUCAGUAUUGCGAGAAAAUGAUGACCAAAUUGGGAAGAAAAGAGGGUAACAAUGCAAGCAAUAACUUGGACUUAAUGUCACAAAUUUGCAACAAAACUUUGCAUGAUAAUUUUUUGCAGUCAUUUCUCAAGCUUCACAUAAUUUGACCAUAUAAAAUAAACAAAGUUGCAACGAUACAAACUCAGCAUCAUUCCAAAUUAAAACCUACGUAAUUUCUUACAUCCAUAAAUAGUUGCAGCCCAGGGAUGAUGCUUGUUCUUUGCCUUCCUAUUCAAUGUGUGCUUUCACACACUCGUGUAGCUUGAGCAUGUGCUUGAAUCAUCAUUGUGCUUUCCCAGGAGACGGUCUUCAAAUGAGCACCACCACCAAUUCUGAAGGCCACUAAAGGCAGGUUGGAACAAUGAAUAUUUCAUGUUUUCAUUUAGUUCCAUCCUUCUUCUGGGACCAGUUUCUGAAACAGAAAACAGGUAAUUUUGUUUUCAGUUCUGUUGCCUUGUGACAAGACCUGCAUUUAGGAUUCGGGAUCUGAUGAAGUCAUCGCACCCUUGAGAUGUAGUGGGAAAUUAAAGUAAGUGUUUGAGUCCGGUCAGCAAAGUUAGGGUUUUGCGUUAUUGCAAUUUAUUGAUUUUUCGUUCUCCUCAAAAUAACGUCCAUUCUACAGAAACAUUUCCCUGAUGCAAGUGUACCAGAAUUCAUCCUAUUUUUUCAUGCUUAUUUGGAGUUGUGAGUUUAGAAAAGCUUCUAUUUUGGUUGCAAAUGAAUCAAAACAAUACCAUUACCAAUUUAGAACAAGAGCAGUGUUUGAGUUUUCCACAAUCUUAUGAAGACUCCAGUUUAGGGAAUCUUAAGUACAGACUGUCAGCCUUUCUUCAAGGUGACUGAAAAACCAUUUAAAAAAUGUUUUUUCUGAUUAUAAUUAAUCACGUCUCUGCUCUGAUUGGCUAACAGUAACAUAACUCAACAGUUAGCUCUGCAACGUUGAUGUUUUAUUUCCACAAAUAACACCAGCCUGGAGGUGUUCUGCUGUGUGGUGGAGUUGCUAAUGCUAAUUAGCGUCUACUGAGACAUGCUCCUCCAUUUCCUGGAUGUUAAAACAACAACAGCCUUCCUUGUCUCAAGUCAAGAUAGAUGAGUCCAUGAAGCUAAUACAGGAGAUAGUUGUAGGAGACUAUGUUCCGCCUGCAUGAAAAACUCCAUUAUAAUCAAAAAUAAUCAUUAAGAUAUGGUUUUAAAUUCUAGGACAGUUUAUUUAUUUAUUUAUUUUUUUUUAACCGUGUCCUGUCUGGCUGUGAAGCAAGCAGAAUUGAUGUCUGAAUGCUGGUGACAAGCCUUACAGAUUUAUUCUCAGGUGGAGCAUCAAAGCGUUUGCUUUUAAUGUCACGCCUGAUACUUAAAACUUUA